UUGAAAGGGAAACGAUUGAAGUCAGUCGUACCUGUGGGUAAUCAGCCUUUUGGGUGUGAUUUUGUGGAGUGUGAGGAGUUAAACGCCUUCAUGCCUGCAUAUUCGUGCACUUUGGGUGUAUUUACCCGUGUGGUAAGUUAACAUCAAUUUCGGUGGUCAUAAAAUGGCUGGAGGAAUGUAGCUUCGAUCUUGUAUUGAAGUGUUAUAGCCUUCGGCAGAUGUGAUGAUCGGGAUUGAGGAUUGCAACGGAUACCCUUCGGGGCUACCUGUCUGAUCUCUGAUCGUUGCUCUGGUGCCGAAAGCUUGCUUACGGUUAUCAAAGUCGAUGGUCAAUAGGUUAGAACGGGUUAAAUUCGUUAAGGAUGUUGACGUA
rnacentral:rRNA from 1 species